GAAGCACACUGAGCAGCCAGGAAGCUCUAGCUGCUGCCGGCUGAAGUAGCAGCUUAGCUUUCCACCUCACCAAUGAGGAAGUGCAGUCAAUCAGGCAGCCCAAGCCAGGAUCGGUUGAGCCCAGUACUUUGCUAGGAGACUGAUUUUUUGCAGCUGGCUCCCUGAGAGGAAUUGAUCAAAAAUUGAAUGCUCCCUGGACUUUGAACAACUCUCAUUCUCACUUAUUGGCAUAGUUACAGCAUUCCAUCAGCAAGACAACUCCCUCCAGAAAUUCCCAUAGCUUGGAACACAGCUUCCUCCCUCUCCACCUACGGGGUUACACCAUGAACAUUGCUGUUAUCUCAGUGUCUGACCUCCCACCAUUUCUGGGCGAGGGUUUUAAAAGGAACGAUGUGGUGGGGUGUUUCCUUCUGACGGAGCCUUGCAAAGAAUGCAGCAUUGGAAGUAAAUUGCACAGAGAUGAAGGGAAACACUCCGAGUGAGUCAGUUGUUCAGACGGAGGACAUCGCCAACAUGAGAACCUGGAAGUUACCCUCACAAAGGACGUCCCUACCAAAUCCCUAGUCAUGGUCCAAAAGUAAAGGCUCUGGUCGAUUUUUAAUCCAGGUACUAGAGAGUGGCCAGAAGCCAGGCAUGUAUUUCUAGAACUCCGAGGCGCUGAACUCAAUGGCAGGUUUUAGCUCUCGUCAGCAGCUUGGUCUGUAUGUGGUUUUCCCUUUGCCAUUAGCUCUAGGCACAUUGGAAGUUUUAUUCCUCCUGCAAGGCACAGUGGGAAGGGCUGACAAGAUGGGUUCAAUGAUUGAGUAAUGCUGAUCAUUAAUCAAGAGCCUUCUGCAGAUUUUUUUCCCCCUUAAAUGUUCCUAGGAGGGCAUUGAGCAGCCUCAGUGUGAGUCAGCGGCAGCUGAGGGUGCACGGUGCUCUGAAGUGGGUGCUCGGCACAUUUCUGGAUCUACCGCUUCGGGUGCCAGAUGAGUAGCUAUAUUUUCAGGCCAGAUCAGGGUCAUUCAAGAUUACUAGCAGCAGUGGUGUUACAGUACCAGCAUUGCGCUAGCAGCAGUACAACUGGGCAGUGAGGCCCCUAAUGGGAAUUCGGUGCCUAAGUACCUUUGCGGCUCUGGGCCUGAGGCGAUGUAUGUCUACACUACAAGCUACGAAGAUCAAGGAAAACAACAAGAAAAGAAAGAAGAGAUUUAAAGUCUUGGUGUGAGAGAGAGAGAGAGAGAGAGAGAACACAAUCUGGGCCAUCCCGGUCCCUGGCUCCAUCCCACCCUACAGUGUUCAGAAUUUGGAUCAGACUUGCAUCCUAGCAGUCUCUCUUUUAGCAUUUUACCACCUCCAGUUCUGGCCUGGGGCAGACCAAGAAGAGCAGAGCUGCAGGAAAUGAUGGAGAAAAUAAGUAAUUCAAAGGGGUUUAGUUAGUUAGUUAGUUAGUUAGUUAGUUUUAGUUUUAACCGUAGAAAAACAAAGGAGAAAGACUCAGCAUGAGAUCUGGUCAAAGCUGUAGGCUGGAUUUUCAUCCUAACUGGCUCAUCCAUCCCUUAUCUUGACUACUAUGUUAUGCUUCUUGUUCAAUGUCCAUCCCAUGUGAGUAAUCUCAUGUAGCCCACGAGCUUUGAGGCCAUUUCUUACUGUAGCAGAACCAGUGUUGCCCUUCUCUGUUCACCAGCAUAUUUCCCCUCCUCAUUUCCUUCCUGCAGGCCUGCCAGAGCUCACUGAUUUGUGUAGAGAUGCCUUCAUUUUAGAUUCAUUGUAAAACAGCUUACUCCCUUCUUGUGUGUGCUUCAAUUAGAUGUUUAAGGCUAGUCCCAAAAUGAUCCAGGUGCAAAACUGCAUGCAGAUACACGCUUGCAAUUACGUGCGCCAUAACCAUGACUGUACACAGUUCUUUCAGCUAUAGACCUGCCACUAAUCUACACCAACAUGACAUUCUAUGAUGAAUGUCGAGUUAGGCAGCUAUCUUGCCAUCUGCAUGGGCAUUUAUUCUUUUAGCAUGGUGUUGCAGUCAUUUUGUGGGCAUCUGCAAACAUAUUUUUGUAAUCAGAUAACACAGUUUGAGAGCCCUGUUCUUCCUUACCCCUUGACUGUGUCAGCUUGCAUGAUUUGGUUUCUGUCCAGUGACUUUAUGAAUCUUUGAGCUGAUUGCUAGGACUUUUCUAGGUUACUGGGAUUUCUCUCUUCCUUCUUCUGUUCCAUGGAAGGGUUGGGCAAACUCGUUCAAUUGAAAUAAGAAAUAUAGAGAGGCUUGUGGCUUCAUUUUUCAGAGGGUGCAAUGGGGGAUUAGGCAAAUAAUGGAAGAAAAUGUCAAAUUCAACAUUAAAAAAAUACCAACUGACUCUAUCAAUAAGUGACCAAAAGAUGCCAGACACUUGCAGCUGCCAGUGAAAUAAAACUCAGCCCACUUGUCUUUGUGCCUAAAUAUUGAUUUAGAACAGGCUAGAACUGGAUAGAUGGUUAGAUAGUCAGGUUUGAAAAUGUAGGCCUUAAUCACUUCCUGCCUCAGUGUCUCAGUCUGUAAAAUGGUGAUACUAUUACUACCCUGGGAAUCAUUAGUCUUCUUGAGAUUAGGUAAAGUUAUGAGGUACAAUCCAGUUACCAGAAGGGGAGGAUCCCAGCCUCCGAACCUGAGUCUGAGCAAUAGCAGCAGGAGGUCCAUGGUAGGAAGCAGGUUGGGGAAUCAGUAAGGGGUUGGGAGAGAUUGAUUCCAGCAUCUUCAUACAUCUGAUCUGGAACCAAGCGUGGGUGGGCCUAGGUUUCCCUGUUACCCCCAGCAAAGGGGCAUAGGAAAGCCUCCUUGAGGAAGAAGGGGAAAGGUCUGUAGAACCAAGGCUGGGAUAGGGGCUGACACAGGGUCAUGGGACUUUUGGCCUGUGAGUCUCUUUAAUACCCCACAAGCAGAGAGAUUAUGACCCACCUGGACAAAGAGCUGGAGUUGUGAGAAGAAACUGACUGUUGCAGCACCAAACAGCCAUCAGGCAGGGGAAACUGAGGCAGGAGAAACUGAGGCAGGGUCACUGCGACAUAACGCUUGGCCAGGAGGGAACACAUUGGCUGGUGAGAUCACUCAGUUACAGGCUAUCAGUCCUUUUAUUUCAGGCCACCACCUGGAGUGUAGAAGACAUCUUCUUAAAUGGUGCCAUGUUGUAUAAUUAGAUAUGGAUGUUUUUAACCUUUCUUUAAAAUAUCUGUCCUGAUCACUGUUAGAGACAAUCUGCUGAUUUGAAGGAUCAUUUAGUCUGUGUGUAUGGAGAUUCUUAUAUUCCUCUGUAACUGUUUAGUAAUUUCUGCCAGCUCAUGACUGGAAUAGAGUUAUACUACUCAAUCCUCAUGCACUGGAAACUUCAGAAAUGACUGUGAGUAGCUGCUCUGAUAAUAUUUAAUCUGUACACACAUGGUAAAUUAUAAUGCACUUGUUGCAUGGAUACAUGGAUACUGUAUUUGGGGAGAUGUAUAUGUGGGUAUUGACAAUCCUGUGGUUCAACAAUAGGGCCAGGACUCAGGUUACCUAGCUUCUGUUCUAGGCUUUGGUACAGAUUUUUCUGCAUGACUUUGGCCAUGUGACUUGAACAUGCAUUUUCAAUAAUGGGCACUGAUUUUUAGAUUUUUAGAAAGGGUAUGUCUUCACUGCAGGGUAAGUCUGCGUAAUCAGAGCCCAGUUAGGCUAGACCCAGUGUGAGCUGCCACUCUGCAAAGCCAUACUCAAGUUAUUGUAUCCUCACUGGUGCAGCGCUUGCUUGUGUGUGUUGCCAGGACUUCUGGGGGCAUAUCCCAUUAUUCUUUGCGCUGCAGUUAACUGAGCCACUCUACAAUUCCUUCCCAGUGAAUUGUGGGAGAACUUGUCUGUCCUUCUAGGCACAUGGGGGGAAAUGGUUGGAAGGCACUGGAGGACUAUUGGCAUUUUAGUGAUUUAGCCUGAAUCAUCACUACAAAGUGGGCAGCUUACCAGCCUGAGUGAAGGCAGAACAGGGCUCUAACGCACCCUCCUAGCCAGCCCAGGUGUAAAACACCACCCUACUUGGGCUAGCAGGGUUUUGUGUGUGUAUGCAUGAGAUGGCUGCUAACUUGGCUGACACAUUGGGGACUGAACUGGGGACCUCCAGAGCUAAAAGCUUGAGUGGUUAAAACGUGAGCUAGAGGCAAUAUGGUGUAGAUAGGGGUUAUAAUAACCCAUAUCUUCUGGGGAUCAGCAGAGGAAGGGAUUGUUACAUACACUCACCACAAUCACAUGUGGAUGGGAGGGGGGCCAGAGACAACACCCAGGUAAGAGCUCAGGCUAUCUCUACAGGGAAGACAAACCCUAAGGGGUUUGAACCCUUUGGGACUUAACAUGGGACUUCCAAAAUGGAAGCACACAAAAUUAGAAGACACUCUGGACAAAUGUGGCCUCUGUUCCCACCUGUAAAAUGGGUCUAGUAAUACUCCCUGACCUUGCAAGGAUGGUCUGAGGCUGCUUUUUGGGAUCACCUGCAAAGUCCUUUGAGCUCUUAGGGACAAAGGCCCCAAAAUGCAAGUACGAAGGGUCAUCAAUCUGAAAAUGAACAGGAGGAAAUUCUUUUAACCAAAAUGCACUUUACUGGUGGACUCACUUCUUGCCUUCAGAACGUCACCUGUUGCAGAAAUACAUUGCUACAAAGGUAACUAGGCAUAAAAAAAUCCUUCUAUUCCCAAAGGCAAAAUAGUUCUGCGGUGUGAAGAUACAGCUCUCACCUGACAUUGUGCCAUUAGUUCAGCUGAAGAGAUUUGCUCGUGGGCAAACAGAAGACAGUGAUGGAUUGGGGAUUUUUUUCCACACAGGUGUUUCUGAGUAACUUUUCAUAAAUCUUCGUAGAUCAAAACACAGGGAAUACCUUAAUCAUGUCAUGUUAUUAAAAAGAUUUACUGAGGGCACUACCAAGUGGGUUAAUUGGGUGGUCUUUAAAAAGCUUAAAAUUGCCAAUUUUUCAGUAGCUCUGAAGUGCCUGUCCUCAGUGAGGAUUUUUUUUAAUCUAUAUGCGUUAGGAGUUAUUACCCUGCAGAGAAGAAAAUGUAGUUUUGUGGUUGUUGACGUGUUGUCAUUUUUUAAAUGACUGGUGGAUAUUGCAUGCUACAUGGUACAACAAAUGAAACCAAUCUGCAUAGUGUUUUGAGUAAUGGACUGAUACUAGUUAGGAGGAGACAAAGAUUAUCUGAACCCCAUUAUUGUCACAAGCAAAACCAGUAGGCAGCCGAAGGGAAAAUUAUAAGGUGAAUAUCAUCGUCUCAGCAUUGCCCAAAGGGGAAUUCUCAUGAGCCUCACUAUGAAACUUAUCUGACAGAAUUCCAGAAAGUACUUAUAAUCAUGAUUUGGGUAUAUUUAAGAUAGUUUUGCAAAAGUUUUUUUACAAUAGACUCAUGAAAGCUCUUUGCCAUAGUGUCUUUAUUUCUUUGAUGAAAGUGUGACCCAGGGUAGUCAAAUAAUGAUACUUAGCACUUACAGGAAGCAGGUUGUUUCAUCUUCAAAACACUCUGCAAACCUUAUUGAACUAACCAGUCUUCAUAACUCCCUUGAGGUAGAUAAGUAGCUCCUGUGUGAAGUAGGUAAGUACGUAUUGUUAUGACAAAAGGAGCUAGGUCAGGUGCAUUCAGAAUCAUUGUUGCAUAAACAGUCUCUAUAAAACUUUUCAUGGAACAAGUUAUCCCAUGUGGUAACUGCAGCUGGACAGUCGUUAAAGGAACAGUGUAGGCUGAAUCACUCUCAUUUGUCUGGGUGGGCUGUAAAACCUGUCUUUGGGUUCCUUCAUAUUGCAGAGUAGCUGAAUAAAAGAAGGGCCUUUGGCUAGGUUCACCUUUCAAGACCACUUGAUCCUAAGGGAUCUCCAGAAGAAAAGCCCAGGGGAUGGGAAUGGAAAAGGGAACAGGAAGAUGUCAAAGGCAAUGCCAGGAAAACAAAAUUCCAAUCCUAUGUAAGUCACUGAUUGCACUUGGGUCUCCAUGUCAAAAGAGAGCUAAGUCUAGCAUAUGCACAUGCUUAGAUCAAACCCAGGCGAAAUCACUCUGAAAAGCAUGUCAUGCUCAACUCUGAGUAGAAAAUGUUUCCCUUGGCAGCGCAAAAGAUUAACGAUAGGGAACACGUUCAAUUUAGGCUUUUCAUUGAGGAAGAGAACAUUCACUACAUUCAGCUUUGAUUCAUCGUUCUCUCACCAUCUGAGACAUGAGCAAGACAUAAUGCAAUCACAAAUACCUCUUGGAACAUUGUAAUCACAUUAUUCUGUGGGGGAGGGUAUUAGAAAAAUACCUGUAAACAAGGUAUGAAAGUCACUAGCUUAUGCUUUGCAAGCUAAGGGCCACAUUGUGCCGUUGUUCCUCUCUGAAGGCAUGGAGUUUUAGCAGUCAAGUAGAGGUGCUCUGAGCCAUUCUGCCUGUAUGACAGAGGCAGGCAAAAUGCCCAAGGCAGCAGUGGUGUAGAUCAUACAUUACUUUUGCUGGUGAAAGGUGCGGCAUGCUUUCUCCACAGUGCCACAGGG